rnacentral:rRNA from 1 species
GACGAACGCUGGCGGCGUGCCUAAUACAUGCAAGUAGAACGCUGAAGGAGGAGCUUGCUUCUCUGGAUGAGUUGCGAACGGGUGAGUAACGCGUAGGUAACCUACCUGGUAGCGGGGGAUAACUAUUGGAAACGAUAGCUAAUACCGCAUAAGAGUAGAUGUUGCAUGACAUUUGCUUAAAAGGUGCAAUUGCAUCACUACCAGAUGGACCUGCGUUGUAUUAGCUAGUUGGUGGGGUAACGGCUCACCAAGGCGACGAUACAUAGCCGACCUGAGAGGGUGAUCGGCCACACUGGGACUGAGACACGGCCCAGACUCCUACGGGAGGCAGCAGUAGGGAAUCUUCGGCAAUGGACGGAAGUCUGACCGAGCAACGCCGCGUGAGUGAAGAAGGUUUUCGGAUCGUAAAGCUCUGUUGUAAGAGAAGAACGAGUGUGAGAGUGGAAAGUUCACACUGUGACGGUAUCUUACCAGAAAGGGACGGCUAACUACGUGCCAGCAGCCGCGGUAAUACGUAGGUCCCGAGCGUUGUCCGGAUUUAUUGGGCGUAAAGCGAGCGCAGGCGGUUAGAUAAGUCUGAAGUUAAAGGCUGUGGCUUAACCAUAGUACGCUUUGGAAACUGUUUAACUUGAGUGCAAGAGGGGAGAGUGGAAUUCCAUGUGUAGCGGUGAAAUGCGUAGAUAUAUGGAGGAACACCGGUGGCGAAAGCGGCUCUCUGGCUUGUAACUGACGCUGAGGCUCGAAAGCGUGGGGAGCAAACAGG